UGAAUUCAGUCGUGAUUACCCCGCUGAACUUAAGCAUAUCAUUUAAGCGGAGGAAAAGAAACUAAAAAAGGAUUCCCCUAGUAACGGCGAGUGAAACGGGAAGAGCCCCAGCGCCGAAAUCGAUCAGUCUUUGGCUGCUUCGAAAUGUGGCGUAUAGGUGUAGUCUUCCAGCAGUGUCGUAUGUCCGAAGUCCUUGCGAUUGAGGCCAUAAACCAGAGAGGGUGCGAGCCCCGUUCUGGAUAGCGGCGCUGUUGGUUCGACUGCUCCUUGGAGUCGGGUUGCUUGAAAGUGCAGCCUAAAGUGGGUGAUAAACUUCAUCUAAGGCUAAAUAUUGACUCGAUUGCGAUAGCGAACAAGUACCGUGAGGGAAAGUUGCAAAGGACUUUGAAGAGAGAGUUCAAGAGAACGUGAAAUCGCUGGAGUGGAACCGGAGACAGUUGAUGUUGCUUGGAGACAAUCUUGGUGGCUGAUCGCUUAGCUGUGAUCGCCGCCGGGAGUCGUUUCCUAUGCUACGCCGACGGCGUUGGCCGCUCGUUCUGGCCCGACAGUGUUGCCCAUCUCGCAAGAGACGGUGUCUUGUUGUCGGUCGUUGGUUCGUGGUGGCUAGCGUUUAGUUCGCUAGUGUGUGUGACGUCGGUGUGAAAGUCGACGACGUUUCCGACCCGUCUUGAAACACGGAUUACGGAGUGUUUGUCUGCUGCGAGUCAAAGGGUGUAAAAACCUUGCGGCGCAAUGAAAGUGAAGGUUAGUCUCGAACUGACCGACGUGGGAUCCGUGCUCUUCGGAGUGCGGCGCACCACGGCCCUAUGCGUGUCACUUGUGACUGUGUAGAGGUUGAGCAGUAGGCAAGCGACCCGAAAGAUGGUGAACUAUGCCUGAGCAGGAUGAAGCCAGAGGAAACUCUGGUGGAAGUCCGUAUCGGUUCUGACGUGCAAAUCGAUCGAUAGACUUGGGUAUAGGGGCGAAAGACUAAUCGAACCAUCUAGUAGCUGGUUCCUUCCGAAGUUUCCCUCAGGAUAGCUGGAACUCUUGCAGUUAUAUUCGGUAAAGCUAAUGAUUAGAGGCCUUGGGGACGUAAUGUCCUCAACCUAUUCUCAAACUUUCAAUGGAUAUGGCGUCGCAGUUUCUUUAGUGAACUGCGGCGUGAAUGCGAGUUCCAAGUGGGCCAUUUUUGGUAAGCAGAACUGGCGCUGUGGGAUGAACCAAACGUGGAGUUAAGGUGCCUAACUUCUCGCUUAUGAGACCCCAUAAAAGGUGUUGGUUGAUAUUGACAGCAGGACGGUGGCCAUGGAAG
rnacentral:ncRNA from 1 species